GAGCUGUGAUGGGGAAGCUCCUUAUGGAGCGAAGUCUUUGAUUCCCCGCUGCCAAGAAAAGCUUCUAGCGAGAUAAAAGGUGCCUGUACCGCAAACCGACACAGGUAGGCGAGGAGAGAAUCCUAAGGUGUGCGAGAGAACUCUGGUUAAGGAACUCGGCAAAAUGACCCCGUAACUUCGGGAGAAGGGGUGCUUUCUUAACGGAAAGCCGCAGUGAAUAGGCCCAAGCGACUGUUUAGCAAAAACACAGCUCUCUGCGAAGCCGUAAGGCGAAGUAUAGGGGGUGACACCUGCCCGGUGCUGGAAGGUUAAGGAGAGGGGUUAGCGUAAGCGAAGCUCUGAACUGAAGCCCCAGUAAACGGCGGCCGUAACUAUAACGGUCCUAAGGUAGCGAAAUUCCUUGUCGGGUAAGUUCCGACCCGCACGAAAGGUGUAACGAUUUGGGCACUGUCUCAACCAGAGACUCGGUGAAAUUAUAGUACCUGUGAAGAUGCAGGUUACCCGCGACAGGACGGAAAGACCCCGUGGAGCUUUACUGUAGCCUGAUAUUGAAUUUUGGUACAGUUUGUACAGGAUAGGCGGGAGCCAUUGAAACCGGAGCGCUAGCUUCGGUGGAGGCGCUGGUGGGAUACCGCCCUGACUGUAUUGAAAUUCUAACCUACGGGUCUUAUCGACCCGGGAGACAGUGUCAGGUGGGCAGUUUGACUGGGGCGGUCGCCUCCUAAAGUGUAACGGAGGCGCCCAAAGGUUCCCUCAGAAUGGUUGGAAAUCAUUCGUAGAGUGCAAAGGCAUAAGGGAGCUUGACUGCGAGACCUACAAGUCGAGCAGGGACGAAAGUCGGGCUUAGUGAUCCGGUGGUUCCGCAUGGAAGGGCCAUCGCUCAACGGAUAAAAGCUACCCCGGGGAUAACAGGCUUAUCUCCCCCAAGAGUCCACAUCGACGGGGAGGUUUGGCACCUCGAUGUCGGCUCAUCGCAUCCUGGGGCUGUAGUCGGUCCCAAGGGUUGGGCUGUUCGCCCAUUAAAGCGGUACGCGAGCUGGGUUCAGAACGUCGUGAGACAGUUCGGUCCCUAUCCGUCGUGGGCGUAGGAAAUUUGAGAGGAGCUGUCCUUAGUACGAGAGGACCGGGAUGGACGCACCGCUGGUGUACCAGUUGUUCUGCCAAGGGCAUAGCUGGGUAGCUAUGUGCGGAAGGGAUAAGUGCUGAAAGCAUCUAAGCAUGAAGCCCCCCUCAAGAUGAGAUUUCCCAUAGCGUAAGCUAGUAAGAUCCCUGAAAGAUGAUCAGGUUGAUAGGUUCGAGGUGGAAGCAUGGUGACAUGUGGAGCUGACGAAUACUAAUAGAUCGAGGACUUAACCAUAUAA
rnacentral:rRNA from 1 species